rnacentral:rRNA from 1 species
UACAGGGGGGGCGAGCGUUGUUCGGAAUUACUGGGCGUAAAGGGCUCGUAGGCGGCCAACUAAGUCAAACGUGAAAUCCCUCGGCUUAACCGGGGAACUGCGUCUGAUACUGGAUGGCUUGAGUUUGGGAGAGGGAUGCGGAAUUCCAGGUGUAGCGGUGAAAUGCGUAGAUAUCAAGAGGAACACCUGAGGUGAAGACGGGUUGCUGGGCUGACACUGACGCUGAGGCGCGAAAGCCAGGGGAGCAAACGGG